GGCCAAUCAGAAGUCAGCAGCAAGAGAAGAGCCCGCCUACUCAUGAAGUCGUACACCUGAAGGUCCAGCGAGUGGAGUUGGUAUCAAAGUGUAGGCCUAGUGGAUCCACACCGUGACCUAGUGCACCGGACCCUGUUGAGAUGCAGCCACCUCAACUUCAUGAAGAAACGGCAAGAUUCAGAUGACUACACCGUUUCAGAUCUACUCGUCUCGCUCACCUGUCCACCUGGAUGAAGGAUCACACUCUGCAGCUGAACAUGUCCAAAACCAAGCUCCCAAUCAAAUUGUUCUAGGUUAAUCUCUAACAACAACCUUUUUCUUCACACAUUGUGCCUUGCUGAUUUUGUUUGUUUGCAUAUGUAACUGAGGUAGCCUGGUUUUACCAGACCACAUUAAUUGUUUUGUAAGUAAUUUUAGGUCUGGAUCCUUGGUGUCCUUGAGCACCAGGGCGGGAGAAGUGAGCUCAGCUCUGAUUUGAAAUGAGCUCUGUCCAAUCGCUGACAAUUGACGUAUGUUAUUCUCCCAAGUACGUUCACGCCGGUUGUCAGUGUUGCCAGAUGUACGAUAAUUUAUACCAUAAUUUUGUUCUUCCGCCGGUCAGGUAGCGUAUGUCACACUAAGUAUACAAAGCUUAACACAGUACCAUUAUAGUCCCAAGAUGGAUCAAACAACACAGGUGUUGACAUUAUAUAGCAUGGGCAGCUUAUGAUGAGGAGGGCCAUGUUUUUUUCAGCACCAGCAUCAGGGGUUCACAUGACCAUGGA